AUCUACAUCCUUACCACCCUGAAUCCACCCAAUCUUGUUUGAUUUCCAAAGCUAAAAAGGGUCAAUCCCAGAUAGUAUUUGGAUGAGAGCCAGCCUGGGAAUACUGGGUGCUGUAGGUU
ensembl:rRNA 5S_rRNA 5S ribosomal RNA